AUUAAAAAAUUAAAAAAAACUUUUUUAUCGUACUUGGCGCGCGUCAUUGAGUACCCCAAAUUUUUUCAGGAUAAAUAAACAUCCUUUUAAUGCCGAGAAAUUUAUAAAUUUCUUGAACACACCACCAUAUUGACAGUUGUUCUCACUGAAGAUCU